UACAGAGACUGCAAGCGUUAUCCGGAUUCACUGGGUUUAAAGGGUGCGUAGGUGGGCAAGUAAGUCAGUGGUGAAAUCUCCGGGCUUAACCCGGAAACUGCCAUUGAUACUAUUUGUCUUGAAUACUGUGGAGGUCAGCGGAAUAUGUCAUGUAGCGGUGAAAUGCUUAGAUAUGACAUAGAACACCAAUUGCGAAGGCAGCUGGCUACACAAAUAUUGACACUGAGGCACGAAAGCGUGGGGAUCAAACAGG
rnacentral:rRNA from 1 species